UGUGUGUAAAUGUAUGUGUCUGUGUGUGUGUGUGUAUUUAGAGAAUAAAGUGCUUUCCUUUCAAUUUCCUCUCCCAGCUCUGCUCCGGAAACAUGGGAGCUACAUGAGAGCAGUAUUACAUAUGUUAUCGUCAGUCUGCCCUCUCCAAGCAGAUGUUCAUCCAUGGAUGUGCUAAAAGAUAAUGCAAAGGCCCCACAGUCGGCACAAGACGCGCCGCGAUCAGCCUCAUUUCAUUGUAUCCUUCCGUGGUCCACAGCACAAUAUAAAAGAUUGGGGCUCCUUUCCCCCUCCCAACACUCACAGAACAAUGUAACUGACCUCCCUAUAUAACCAGGGUUAUCUUGGGACCCUCUAUUCUAUGGGAAUAACAAUCAGAAGCACCAUUCACCCCAAAUAGACACGUUUGAACUGAAAGGUUUAGGUUAAACUGGAAGAUAGUAAGUACACUAAACUGAAAGAUCUAUCUCAGCUCGUGAACUUAAUUUGUUCAGAUUCGGGAAAUGAUGGUCACGUUACUGUUCUUUCAGGAAAGAUGGCUGUGGUCAUCUUCAUUACCAAUGCAGAGUUUAAAAAAUAAAACCCAAAAUUUUACCAAAUGCUUCUGUUUAUGAACCAAGUUGUUCACAAACAAAAGUGUUCGUGAACUAAUGUACCACUAUAUGGAUGUGCAUAGUAUGUGGGUGUGUUCAAUAGACGAGAUCAACUCAUUUACAGAAAUUGAACACACAUUUAGAAAUAAGCUAUUCAUUUGGGUUAAUAAGCAUCUUCAAACAUAAGAUAAAAAAACUACUGCUCAUGCACACUUUACUAGUGUAGUGACUGACUUCGCUGUUGCGAGAGAGCUAAGAAUGGAGGAAAGAGACCAAGGACACAGACACUCACUGAGAUGGUUCUGAGGCUACAUAAGGAGGAGGACAGGACUCCUUUCUACUGAGUCAGAGUUAGAAUGAGAGGGUGGGAGCCCAGAAUGGAUAAUAUUGCUGGGUCUUGUAUCUAGAUGUUCCCUUAAAGCUACAACAGUCAUAGGGGUGCUUUCUGGAUUUAGGGUGUGUGAUGCUGGGAUUAAUUUGGGUGUGAGUGCUACCUGGAUAGAAUAAAAGGGACAGAAAGAGGGCUCCUGCUGUCACUUCCUUGCUACUGCAGUGCUUUGCUGCCUUCCUGCCAUUUGCCCACCUUGAACUAUUUCUCUUCUGUGAUGCCCCUCUGCCAGGCCACCUUGCCUUGGAGCCAGCUGAUUAUGGGCUGAAACCUCUACAAACUGUGAGCUAAAUAAACCUUUACCUCUUUAACUUUGAGUGUCAGGUAUCUUGUCUCAGCACCCAGAAAAGUGACUAAGACAAUAAUGGACUCCAUGAGACUACUAAAGUGCAUCAUAAACAAAACCAGCUCCAGGUACUUCUCUUUACUAGCAAUUUUGGGAAGAGCA
rnacentral:lncRNA from 1 species